GUGCUUGCUUAGGCAGCACAUAUCCUAAAAUUGGAACAAUACAAAGAAAAUUAGCAUGGUGCCUGCAUAAGGAGGCUGAACCAAUUUUUGAAGGAUUCCAAGUUUUG
ensembl:snRNA U6 U6 spliceosomal RNA